rnacentral:rRNA from 1 species
AUGAUUUUCAAGCUUGAUUUCCGGAAAGUUUUCGACUCCGUCGCUUGGCCGACACUUGACAAGAUCCUCCUCGUCCGGGGCUUCUCCCACAUCUUCCGUAGCUGGAUCCAGAACAUCCUUGUUACAGGCAAAACCGCCAUUCUUUUGAAUGGUGUCCCAGGCAACUUGAUAGACUGCAAAAAUGGCCUACGGCAGGGUGAUCCCAUCUUCCCCUACCUCUUUCUCAUUGUAGCAGAUAUGCUCCAACAACUUAUCUUCAAAAACACACACACCUCGCUCCACCACCCCAUCUUCUCUCAUCUACCCCCACCAUCCUCCAGUACACAUACGAUACGCUGA